rnacentral:rRNA from 1 species
UACGUAGGGUGCAGGCGUUAAUCGGAAUUACUGGGCGUAAAGCGUGCGCAGGCGGUUUUGUAAGACAGAUGUGAAAUCCCCGGGCUUAACCUGGGAACUGCAUUUGUGACUGCAUGGCUGGAGUGCGGCAGAGGGGGAUGGAAUUCCGCGUGUAGCAGUGAAAUGCGUAGAUAUGCGGAGGAACACCGAUGGCGAAGGCAAUCCCCUGGGCCUGCACUGACGCUCAUGCACGAAAGCGUGGGGAGCAAACAGG